ensembl:lncRNA
GAAAACUCUGUUUACGUAGCUGCAGCGCUGCACGCAAACGGCACCUGAGCCUACAUGAAAUGCCUGUCUAGUGCCUAGACCAAAGAGAUUGCCAUAGUUGUCUUGUGAGACUGCCUUUUAUGAAAUUAAUUGAAAUCUUCAUAAAUCCAGGCUCAGUUUGCCACGUAAAGUUAGCCUAAAUAAUCAGACAGCCAGUGUCACAAUCCUACUGUUGGGUAAUGUUAAGCUGGAGGGUAACUGGUUGUCGUGCUAACUGUGGGAGAGGCUCCCUUGAUUGGCCUUGAUUAUGGUCACCUGAGGGAUCCAAGAUGGCGGACAGAAGCAAGAUGGUGUCUGGAUAGACAGCAUGGUGCCCAGACUUGGUUACACUCAGAAACCAUAAGACUUUGUAAAACCUAUUUGCCCUUAUACAAGGACAGUACCAGAAUUAGAGAUUCCUACAGGGAACGUGACUACUCCUUUGUCGUGUAUGUCUGUCAAGUGUUUGUCAAUGCUAUAUGUCAAACAAUAACCAAACGGGACAGGCUACCGUUCACCCCAACGCUUGGGCUAUCCCUCAACAAGAGAGAGAAGGACCAGAGCUCGACAGGAACCCAGCCGAAAUGCCCACUGAAAAGAGGCGGAUUCAGGAGGGAGAGAGACAACUCAAGGAGGCAGCAAAGGGGAGCACAUCACUGCAGGGUUGGCUACGAAAAAGCCAACCAGCAGGGAGAUGGAUUCAGACAUCGAGAGGGGAUUCAGACACUCCCCACAGGAUAGUUGUCAUCAGGGCCGACGGACUGCGGGGGAAAGUGAGGCAGUCGUGGGGGGGCCCAAGGCAGAGGGGGCCCAUGGCAAAAAAAAAAAAAAAAAAGAAAGAAAUUUGAAUUAUCCCACAG